rnacentral:rRNA from 1 species
UACGGAGGAGGCAAGCGUUUAUCCGGAAUUAUUGGGCGUAAAGCGUCCGUAGGUGGCUAGUCAAGUCUGCGGUCAAAGACUGGGGCUUAACCCUGGAAAGGCCGUGGAAACUGACGAGCUAGAGUGCAGUAGGGGUAGAGGGAAUUCCCGGUGUAGCGGUGAAAUGCGUAGAGCUCGGGAAGAACAUCGGUGGCGAAAGCGCUCUACUGGACUGCAACUGACACUCAGGGACGAAAGCUAGGGGAGCGAAUGGG